GCGGCUCGCACACGCCCGCGCCGCCGCUGCUAGAGCUCCGCGGCGGGUCUCGGGGCUCCGCUGCUCGCUUUUUUUCCUCCUCGGAAAUUAAAGCGGAGGAGCCACUGAAAGUGGGAAGGUCCCCCUUCUGGCAGGAGGAAUCUGCAGGGAGGCCACGGUGUGUUCUUGAGGGGCCGGCAGGGAAGGCGCUGCUGGGCUCUGCGCUGUCGGACUUGGAAAUAAACUGUGGCCGUUCUCGUUGCCGCACUCGGGAAAUCUUUUCUAGGGCAACAGCAGACGUGCCAAGUCUCUUAUUUGGAAUCUUUUUCAAAGGCGAUCAGUGACGCUGAAGAAUGUCAUGAUGUGAUUCAAAGGAGACAGCUUUCAUUUCACUCCUUGAAAUAACAUUCUUAAGUUGACUUAGAUCUCCGGCUGGAAAAUAAAGCUUUCUCUGGGUUUAAAAAAAAGAGAGAACAAGAGCUUUUUUCUUACAGUGACUCCAUAGCAUCUACUUUCAAGAAAAUUUUGCAUCAGUGAAACAGAAUACCUGGAACUUAGAAUCUCAAUAUAAAAAAAUUACCUUUGUUUUCUCAACUGCUAAUUCCAACAGUAAAGAUAUUGCCAAAGGAAGAAUUAAUGUGAAAGAAAUUCUGUGUCUAUGAAACCUGACCUCAAAGGACUUAAUUACCGAAAACAUAUUAGGUACCAGUUCAAGUAAAUCUUCCAUUUAAAAUGGCAGUUGUGAAACAUAAAUAUCCUUGAUAAAUUUUAAGUCAUAGUGUCGAAGUUGCAAUCUGGAGUCUAAACCACUUACAAAGAAAACACUCUAUUCAUGAUUUAAAAAAACAUCCCUAGCAUAUGUCUUACUUUCUUUUUCUUGUCUGUACUACGUACCAAUUUCAUGUCAUAUUCUCAAAUUGUUCUAAUGACUGGUUCCAGAUUUUUCAAAAAGUGUUGCAAAUUUAUUUCAAAUCCAAGUUUAUUAACUGCCUGAAUAAUAUGCUGUAUUACUUGCCAGAAGCUUUCUUUUAAGGAGGAUCAUUUAGAAAGACCUUUGAAAUAUGAAGGGGUGAAGUUCCAUCAAAAGGUCUCUUGAGUCUUAGCUUGUGUGUGUAUAUGUGUGUGUAAAAUAUAAAUGUGUUUUAUAAAUAAAAGUAUAUUCAGUUUGUACACACAUAUAUAUGUAAACUAACAUUAACAUAUUAAAGUUAGAACAAUGUAUGAGGGGCUUUUAAAUUAACAUUUGUUGCCAUUUAAAUGAUUGUCAACAUUUGUGCAAAAUGUCAGUGACACAUAUGGCAAGGCAGGGUUUUUAGCACACAGAAACUAUUACCUGUUCCCAGUUCCUUUACUUGUCCACCGUGUAAUCCUCAAUAAAUUAGUUGGUAUGCGUCCCCCAUAUGCAUGACCAUCCCCCACCGGCUUUCUUAAUCUAUGAAAUGGGUAGUAAUAUUUGACUGCAAAAGUCUUUAAGAACUUCACAUGGAAAAAUCUAUACUGACUAUAUAAAUAAAGCAAAUGUGUCUUGCCAUUAUGAAUAAUAAAGACUGUUUUCAAUGUGUUG